rnacentral:rRNA from 1 species
CCUACGGGGGGCAGCAGUAGGGAAUCUUCCACAAUGGGCGAAAGCCUGAUGGAGCAACGCCGCGUGGGUGAAGAAGGCCUUCGGAUCGUAAAACUCUGUUGUUAGAGAAGAAAGCGCGUGAGAGUAACUGUUCAUGUUUCGACGGUAUCUAACCAGAAAGCCACGGCUAACUACGUGCCAGCAGCCGCGGUAAUACGUAGGUGGCAAGCGUUAUCCGGUUUUAUUGGGCGUAAAGGGAACGCAGGCGGUCUUAUAAGUCUGAUGUGAAAGCCUUCGGCUUAACCGGUGUAGUGCAUUGGAAACUGGGAGGCUAGAGUGCAGAAGAGGAGGGUGGAACG